ensembl:lncRNA
GCCUGCUUUCGCUGGCGACAGUUAUUACGGUCGAUGCACACACGCCUGACCUGCUCCUUUCUUUUGAUAACUCUCGCCAAAACCGUGCGAAUCCAAUAGGAAAACAGCUGAAACUGGCGCAGGGAGCGGGCGCUUCCUCAUCGGAGCAGCUCUGCAUGGAUGCCCGCGGCUGGACACAUGAUACCUGCACAACACUCCUGGCCGCUGUCGUUGGCUCCUCCUGUUACGGCUGUAACAUCACUGAAAAGGCUGGCGUUCACACAGCCGCAGCUCAUAAAGCCUGUUUAAGACCACCUCCCCGAACGAGGAGCUGACGAAGAGCUGAUGUUGAAACUCGACUUUGUGUGGCAGAAUUUGGCUUCCAUAGUAAAGAGUCAUUCAGAAUACACAGAUUGUUCACAGUGGUGGUGACAGGAACCAGACGUCCACCUCUUGAAGCUCCCUCACAAAAAUGGUUAUGAAUACGCUGCCCGAUCCCCAGAGCCGACAGUAUGUGACUGAAGUGCUCUUGAGGAGGGCACCUAACCACCAACCGCUCCCCGGGCGCCGUGGAUGAUGCUGCCCACCACCCCAGAACUCGCAAAGGCUGUGCUGUUAUAUGACUCAUCUGCUUUGCUCAUGUUUCCUCUGGUUAGCCCCCCUGUCUUCGUUACCCUGAUGUGUUCCCUGACAGCGGGCUGGAUCAGGCUGUUCUCGCUCCGCUCUGCAGGGAGACACAGCCAUCUGCAGGCCUCACUGGGCAGCAGCCAGGCCAGCAAAGCCCACAUUAACAGAGACAAUACAAUAAAGAGCAAUGAGCUGUUAAGGGUUCACCUAAGCGUGAGUCGGAAAAGAGUGCACAGGGCGGUGGGGGGCACUGGCUAUGUAUUGAUGUUGAUUAUGUGUGCAUGUGUUUGUAAUUUAUGGGGCAGGACUGGGUGGUGA